GACGAACACUGGCGGCGUGCCUAAUACAUGCAAGUCGAACGCACUCUCGUUUAGAUUGAAGGAGCUUGCUCCUGAUUGAUAAACAUUUGAGUGAGUGGCGGACGGGUGAGUAACACGUGGGUAACCUGCCCUAAAGUGGGGGAUAACAUUUGGAAACAGAUGCUAAUACCGCAUAAAACCUAACACCGCAUGGUGUAGGGUUGAAAGAUGGUUUCGGCUAUCACUUUAGGAUGGACCCGCGGUGCAUUAGUUAGUUGGUGAGGUAAAGGCUCACCAAGACCGUGAUGCAUAGCCGACCUGAGAGGGUAAUCGGCCACACUGGGACUGAGACACGGCCCAGACUCCUACGGGAGGCAGCAGUAGGGAAUCUUCCACAAUGGACGAAAGUACUGAUGGAGCAACGCCGCGUGAGUGAAGAAGGUUUACGGAUCGUAAAACUCUAGUUGUUGGAGAAGAAUGUAUCUGAUAGUAACUGAUCAGGUAGUAGACGGUAUCC
rnacentral:rRNA from 1 species